rnacentral:sRNA from 1 species
AUUUGGUGCCAGGAUUUAGUCACGGGUUCGGGGGACCUGGAACAUUCUGUGUCCGGAGAAAUGAGCCCUUGGCUUGGCCGUCACUCAGCUGCCAACUUGCUACAAACAGAACCAGACUCACAGGGGCCUAGUGUGAGCAGGAGUCUAAGGCUUCCAUUCAGCUCAUCCUGGACUUCAGACUUGACUUCAUCCUGUCUGAGCAGCCUCUGGAAACCAGGGACGUCCCCAGAGGCUGCCUCUGCAACCAGGGACGUCCCCAGAGGCUGCCUCUGUUCAGGCUAUGCACCUGUCAUCUCUGAAUUCUGUGGCUCUGGUGACUCAGGUGAACCGGAGGGAAAAACAGAGAUGGGAUGGAAUUCAGCCAGGCUUUGGAUGGGAAGAUUGAGCAAGGACCAAACUCCGUGGGAGAGUUGAACGCAGCGGACCUCGGGCUGGCAUGAGUGCACCCAAGCUUGCCACAGAGACCAAAAGAGAGAUCUCAGGGCUCUGGAGAGACAGAGCUGGUGUUUAUGGGAGAGGCAUUGGCAAGAAGAAACACCGGACUAGGAACAGACAGAGACCUCCAAUGCCAGUGCUUAGCCAGUUAGCAUGGUUUUUUUUUUUUUAACUACACACUACCAUGGGCCACCCAAUGUGUCUUUCUAGGGAAUUUUGAAACAGUCAUAAUUGAACAGGGAGGAAAUAGUUAAAAUUGAUUACGUAGCCAUAAUCUCAUUUGGUUGAAAUCUUUAUAAUUGUUACAAAGUUGAAGUUUUAAUUUUUUACAUUGGUAUAAAAUUUAUUUUGAUACAGAUUUAAUGUUUUCAUGGUAUGAGUUUCUUCUAUCGAUACAAAAAUUUAAGAAUGCAAAGCUUAGACGCAGUCCUUCUAUAACUACCAUUAGAAACUGUUUCUAGAUGAUUAAACAUGGAAGUUAAGGGCCAGAUAACAAA